rnacentral:lncRNA from 1 species
UGUACACGCCAACUCGAACUCAAUUUCUCCGAGCGGUAACUGACAAUCGCGGCGGUAUUUCAGAUCUACGCGGCGGAGGUGGUGAGUUCUGGUGAUGUAAUGGAGGGUUUGGUGAUAUAUGUAUACAAAUUGUUCAAUUGGUUAGUUCAAUCACUUGAAAACGGAAAUCGAAGCCAAAGAUAAUGUGGGUUUGUUAGACUUUUACCAAAAAUCACUUGAAAACGGUCGGAGUUGGUGAUGGUGGUGGUUGGUGGAGGAGAUGGCGGUGGUAGAGAGUGAAGAGAGAAGGGAAAAGGAGGGGGUAGUCAUACGGUGGGUUUGGGAUUUUAUAUAAAAACUGUUUUUAUUUGUAUUUUUAAUCAAAUUUAAAAAUAUAGUGCCACGUAAGCAAGAUUCGCCAUGUCAUCCUGUCCACGUAAUCAAGUCUGUGCCACGUAGGAUCAAAAACAAACUCAGUUAGUAAAAAUUUAACUGAGUGGUGUCAACACAAACUAAAAGUCAAGUUGGGGGUGCCGGGUGUCAAAGUGUUAGUUAGGGGUGGCAACGGUCAAAGGCCGAUAGUUGAAGGUUAUAAAAUCCAAUAACCCUUUCUUUAAUUUUAAACUAAUUAAAAUUCAGAUUCAAAAAAAUCAGUUACUAAGAUUAUGGUAACUGCUCCCUACAAUUAAGUAACUCGAUAUAUUAUUUCCUGAACAAAAUUUAAAAUCUUUAAUCAUCUAAUAUUCAAACUACGAUCGAUGUGGUGUCAAUCAUGUAUAGAAUAUGAUUCGUCAAAGAAAACUAAACGAGAGAGAACAUGAUAAUGCCAAAAUGGUUGAGCAUCAAUAUAAUUUAUUUAUUUUUGAGUCUAAGUGGCAGCAUUCAUUCAUUGCUUCUUAUGAAGGUUGGUUAUUAGAACACCGGUGAUUGAAUCACCGGUUAGAGAAGAUAGAAGCUUUAUCUUUUUUUUUUAUUCCUAUUCCUCUACUUUAUUCCCAUACUAGUUUUAUUAUAUCAUUGAUUUAGAAUUUAGAAUAACAUUCCUAAUUAGUCCACAUGAAUUCUUGAGAGAUAAUGCAAGAGUCUGCAUUUGAUUUGUUGGUUUUUUUUUUUUUUUUUGUCAUAUACGAUUUAUGCCUCCACAUUGAAAAAUUUACGAAGAUCAUCGAUGGGAUGAGAUGGCGCCACCACCGGUGCUCACAUGAUCUCAUUUGAUAUUCAUUGUAAUCAAUUGUAAUUAUUUUCUAUUGCUUCAUUUUAUAUUUAUUAUUAGUG